UCGUGUCGCCCGCUCCGAUCCCGCGGAUUCUUCUCUUCUCGUCCUCGCUCGUCGCCAUCAUGCUAAUUAAGGAGCGCGACUUCAACACUCGUCGUCAUCAAUCCAGGUUCCAAAACCCUAAUCCCAUCUUUUUACUUAUCGAGAAACGAUCGGCCCUGAGGUUCGUAUGCCAUUUUGUCGGUAGGGAUUGUUGUACGCUUUGAUUCGGUGGACUCAUGAUUGAAGCGUUGCAAACCGAAGGGAACCGUGUAGGAUUCGAUGCCCUACACAUGCGUCACAAGGAACAGAGUUGUUUGCCACCUCUAGCCCUAACAGAGUUAGGGUACCACUUACAUGAACCACAUGAUCAACCCACGCAUGUUUGUAAUUGAUCAUGUGGUUCAUGUGAGUAGUACCCUAACAUGGAAUUUUGGAAUUGGGAUGAUGAUGAAAAGAGGAUUUGAGUUCAUACAUAAAUGUGCUUAGAGCAUUAAACGAAGCUCGAGGCAAACCCACUUCUUUGUGCCGAUGGGAUGAACAUCUGUGCCAAGGGGGUGGCGUGGCAUUUGGUCUUGGCUUCAUCUCGGUCUAAGCCUUGGAAGGUUGCUUAGCGGUUGUUCGAGUUACUUCAUUGGUCAGCCAGUUUCUUAUGAUUUACAUCCAAAUCACUUUCUUGCCCAAAUUUUCUCCAGUCAGGAAUUAUGCAUCAGAUUUUGAAAGGCUGGCAUCAAAUCAAAUUUGAGGAAACAGUAUUCCUUCCAGCAGUUGCAUGUGAGAGCCAUUACAAAAUAGUGAGGACUGUCAUAACCCAUGUCGGAGAAGAUAGUGAUGCCAAUGGACUCUGCCAGACUUGUGCGACAACUGGUCUUAUCAUUCAACUCUUUAGAACCAAGUGUUGCUUUUUGGUUAAUUAGAACCUUCCUCACUUAGGAGGAUAUCUGAUGCAAAAUUUCUAACACCAAACAUACAGUAGUCUAACUUUGUGUGGAACGCUAAUCAAAUCAUUAUUAUUCGUUGGUUUGUAUUUUUAGUUUGGCAGUAAUCUUGCAUCUAAAAAAUAGUCCU